UACGAACCGUGCGAGCGUUAUUCGGAAUCACUGGGCUUAAAGCGCGUGUAGGCGGCCCGGCACGUCAUCGGCUGAAAUCCCCCGGCCCAACCGGGGAACGGGCCGUGAUACGACCGGGCUGGAGGGGGGUAGGGGGCGCCGGAACUCACGGUGGAGCGGUGAAAUGCGUUGAGAUCGUGAGGAACGCCCGUGGCGAAAGCGGGCGCCUGGGCCCCGCCUGACGCUGAGACGCGAAAGCCAGGGGAGCGAACGGG
rnacentral:rRNA from 1 species